rnacentral:misc_RNA from 1 species
GAAAUGCGAUAAGUAGUGUGAAUUGCAGAAUUCAGUGAAUCAUCGAAUCUUUGAACGCACAUUGCGCCCCUCGGUAUUCCGUGGGGCAUGCCUGUUCGAGCGUCAUCUACACCCUCAAGCUCUGCUUGGUGUUGGGCGUCUGUCCCGCCUCCUUCACGCGCGGACUCGCCCCAAAUCCAUUGGCGGCGGCCCUUGCCUCCCUCUCGCGCAGCACAUUGCGCUUCUCGAGGCGCGGCGGACCGCGUCCAGCAAGCAACCGUCACACCGUCUUUGACCUCGGAUCAGGUAGGGAUACCCGCUGAACUUAAGC